rnacentral:rRNA from 1 species
AGGUUGGGUAACACUAACUGGAGGACCGAACCGACUAAUGUUGAAAAAUUAGCGGAUGACCUGUGGCUGGGGGUGAAAGGCCAAUCAAACCGGGAGAUAGCUGGUUCUCCCCGAAAGCUAUUUAGGUAGCGCCUCGUGAAUUCAUCUCCGGGGGUAGAGCACUGUUUCGGCUAGGGGGCCAUCCCGGCUUACCAACCCGAUGCAAACUGCGAAUACCGGAGAAUGUUAUCACGGGAGACACACGGCGGGUGCUAACGUCCGUCGUGAAGAGGGAAACAACCCAGACCGCCAGCUAAGGUCCCAAAGUCAUGGUUAAGUGGGAAACGAUGUGGGAAGGCCCAGACAGCCAGGAUGUUGGCUUAGAAGCAGCCAUCAUUUAAAGAAAGCGUAAUAGCUCACUGGUCGAGUCGGCCUGCGCGGAAGAUGUAACGGGGCUAAACCAUGCACCGAAGCUGCGGCAGCGACACUGUGUGUUGUUGGGUAGGGGAGCGUUCUGUA